AACGCGAAGAACCUUACCUGGGCUUGACAUGCUGGUAGUAGAAACCUGAAAAGGCGACGAGCCCCGCAAGGGGAAGCCAGCACAGGUGCUGCAUGGCUGUCGUCAGCUCGUGCCGUGAGGUGUUGGGUUAAGUCCCGCAACGAGCGCAACCCUCGCCCUUAGUUGCCAGCGGGUAAUGCCGGGCACUCUAAGGGAACUGCCCGUGAUAAACGGGAGGAAGGUGAGGAUGACGUCAAGUCCUCAUGGCCUUUAUGCCCAGGGCCACACACGUGCUACAAUGGUCGGUACAAAGGGUCGCGAACCCGCAAGGGGGAGCCAAUCCCAAAAAACCGGCCUCAGUUCAGAUUGGGGUCUGCAAUUCGACCCCAUGAAGUCGGAAUCGCUAGUAAUCGCGGAUCAGCACGCCGCGGUGAAUACGUUCCCGGGCCUUGUACACACCGCAUAC
rnacentral:rRNA from 1 species